UCUUUUCUUCUUAGUUUGUAAGUUUGUAACCUUGUACCUGUAUUUUUUAUUUUUCUACCUGGAUUGGAUGGUUGAGAUUUGUCAUGAUUCAAAAAAAAAAACAAAAAAAAAAAGGGGAACGAUUAGGACUUCUGUCUUGUCCGUGCUAACCCCAAGCAGGCCUGCAGGCAAAAUAGCGAUUUCUCAGAUGAGAAAACUCUUUUCACACCAGAGAGAGAGACAACGAACAGCUUGGUUGGGCUGUACCUAACGAGUCAAUUCUUCGGAGUCUCAUCGUUUUGAUCCAAACGGUGACCAUUUGAAAUCGUAAACAGACGUGAAAGCCAAUUCCAGAUCCUUUCAAUUUCUCAAACCCUAUUGCAUUUUGUCAGAUGUAGAAAGCAAAUACUAGAGACAAAGAGAUUCUUAUUUUUGGUAGGUUAGAAACUUUGUAUAUCAAACUAGCAUUGCCCAUAACGUAUAACCGGUAAAAGUAGUCACAGAGAGAGAGAGAGAGAGAGAGGUUCGUCUAUGGCCGGGAUCUUUGAGUACUUUUGGUCCGGAGAUUCGAACCCUAGAGGGGAACAAAGGAGUACAUGGGACAGGGAUCUUGUACUUGGCUUCUCUCCUCGAUCAGUACCCUCCUUCCAAUCACUCUCUGUACCCUCCGCCGCCUCCACAGCUUCCCACUUGUGUUCUACCAGCUGGUGUGGACUUCUAUGCAACAGGCUUUGAUUCUAAUGAUGUUUCAACUUUUCCACGGAGUUAUCCCAUUGUUUUAACUGGUAUGCAGGUUCGCAUAUAUUUACAGACAUAUUCAAGUGUUCUUUUUUGAAGGUUUGAUUCGAAAGUAUUUGUACCUAGUAUGGAUUAUUAUUAUUAUUUUUUAUAAGUAAAAAUCGAUUCGAAAAGCGUUCAAAA